UCCAGACUCCUACGGGAGGCAGCAGUGGGGGAUAUUGCACAAUGGGGGGAACCCUGAUGCAGCGACGCCGCGUGGGUGAAGGAGCGUUUCGGCGCGUAAAGCCCUAUCGGCAGGGAAGAAGGAGGACGGUACCUGACUAAGAAGCCCCGGCUAACUACGUGCCAGCAGCCGCGGUAAUACGUAGGGGGCAAGCGUUAUCCGGAUUUACUGGGUGUAAAGGGGGCGCAGACGGCAGCGCAAGCCAGGAGUGAAAGCCCGGGGCCCAACCCCGGGACUGCUCUUGGAACUGCGCGGCUGGAGUGCAGGAGGGGCAGGCGGAAUUCCUAGUGUAGCGGUGAAAUGCGUAGAUAUUAGGAGGAACACCGGCGGCGAAGGCGGCCUGCUGGACCGUAACUGACGUUGAGGCUCGAAAGCGUGGGGAGCAAACAGGAUUAGAUACCCCAGUAGU
rnacentral:rRNA from 1 species